CCCUUAGAUGUUCUGGGCUGCACGCGCGCUACACUGAAGCGUUCAACGAGUAUUCACCUUGCCCGGGAGGGUUGGGUAAUCUUUUGAAAACGCUUCGUGAUGGGGAUAGAUUAUUGCAAUUAUUAAUCUUCAACGAGGAAUUCCUAGUAAGCGCGAGUCAUCAGCUCGUGCUGAUUACGUCCCUGCCCUUUGUACACACCGCCCGUCGCUACUACCGAUUGAAUGGUUUAGUGAGGCCUCGGGACUGGCGCGCUCGAGUAGCAAUACACCUGCGCGCCGGGAACUUGGUCAAACUUGAUCAUUUAGAGGAAGUAAAANUCGUANCA
rnacentral:rRNA from 1 species